UGCGCCAGCAGCAGUGCAGGGUAGCUAUGAUCGGACAGGAUAACCGCUGAAGGCAUCUAAGCGGGAAGCCCCCCUCAAAACAAGGUAUCCCCGAGGGCCGUGGAAGACCACCACGUCGAUAGGCCGGAGAUGUAAGCAUGGUAACAUGUUCAGUUGACCGGUACUAAUGGCCCGAUUGGCUUGAUUUGAUCCAG
rnacentral:rRNA from 1 species